rnacentral:piRNA from 1 species
UACUCUCCAACCAGAUAACAGUGUUGC